CCACAGUUCACCCUGGUCAACAAGACCCCUUUGCAGUGCUGCAUGGAAUUCUAAUGCAGUGCUGCAUGGACGCUGGACAGGCACUGGCAGCCAGGGAGCCACUUCCUCUUUCAACUAAAUGCAUGCUAAGGGGUGGUGGAAGAUAUGCAGCUGGUAUCCACCCAAAAGGAAGAAUCAUGCCCUUGAGUUCUGAUCACAAGGCUCUUCUGCCGUAAUUAAAAUGGAAUAAUCUUCACCAUCAACCAACCUCCAGAUCCUACAAGCUAUAUAAAAAGAAGAAAGGAAGACUGUUUCACAGUCGUGGAUGAGUAGCUGAUCACAGCUUUCAUAAAAUAUGCAUGCCAGCACUUCCGCACAAUUAUCUCGAAGAACCAGUCUCUUGUUCCAAACAUUUCAACAGCAAAAGACCUACCUGUAGCCAGCUAUUUAGAAAGUGAAGUGUUGCCUAGAAAAUAAUUAUUGAAAUCAAUAAACAAUUAAAAUUG
rnacentral:lncRNA from 1 species